GGGGCUAUAGCUCAGGGGAGAGCGCCUGCCUUGCACGCAGGAGGUAAAGCGGUUCGAUCCCGCUUAGCUCCACCA
rnacentral:tRNA from 1 species